UACGUAGGGGACAAGCGUUGUCCGGAUUUAUUGGGCGUAAAGAGCGUGUAGGCGGCCAGGUAGGUGGGUUGUGAAAACUGGAGGCUCAACCUUCAGAGGUCGACCGAAACCCCCUGGCUAGAGUCCGGGAGAGGAGAGUGGAAUUCCUGGUGUAGCGGUGAAAUGCGCAGAUAUCAGGAAGAACACCCGUGGCGAAAGCGGCUCUCUGGAACGGUACUGACGCUGAGACGCGAAAGCGUGGGGAGCGAACAGG
rnacentral:rRNA from 1 species